UCUGGCGGGUGAGGGAGAGAGAGAGAGAGGCAGAGGCACAGCAGCAACAGAGCACAGACAGGACGGUUGGACCAGGGCCUGGACACAGGCAGGAUGGUUGGAUCGCAGCUCGAGAGAGAGAGAUUUAUCAAAAAGGAAGGUUUUAAGCCUAAUCUUAAAGGUGGAGAGUGUGUCAGCUUCUCGAACCUGAAGAGGGAGCUGGUUCCAGAGGAGAGGAGCUUGGUAGCUAAAAGCUCUGCCUCCCGUUCUACAUUUAAACACUCUAGGAACCACAAGUAGCCCAGCGCUCUGAGAACGAAGCGUUCGGCUGGGAGCAUAAGGAACUAUGAGGUCUUUAAGAUAAGGAGCUUUAUCAUUGAGUACUUUGUAGUUCCACACGUCCCUCUGUGAAAACAUGAUGGAGACAGAUGACAGGUCGUAGAUCCUUUUGUGAACAGAUGUCAACGGGGUGGAGACUGGUGAACGACUUCCGAACUAAUAGGACGCUCUGACCCAACACUCUCAGCCUUACAGGAAACCCCUGCUUCCCUGUGGCUCACACACAGAUCUGAUGAAGGUUUGAUCAGAGGAUGUGAACCAGUGGUCAUCACACCUAAAUCUGACCACAGACCAUGUAAACAACAACACCCUCUUAAAGGAAGCCAUAGAUGGCGUUACUGCAGACACCACUAAGCUGCUGAAACAUUGAAUGCUACAGGCCACAAAGAGCCUGUCUUAAUUACAGUUUGUUCAGACUUAGGUUCUUUUUCUGGGUUAUUGUAAUUACAGCUGAUGGUAAAUCCAUCUCACUCAAAAGAGUUGAAGCAAUUUGAAACCUGCCUAAACCAUGCAUGUAUAAACAGCUUAAGUCAUUUCUAGGUAAUUGUUUUUAUUGUAUAAACUUCAUUCCUAACUUUUGCAAAAUGUUUAAUAAGAACAAAACAACCUAAAACACUCCCAUACACAAAAACUAAAACACAGCCAGUUCAUGAAAACAGACAAUUCUGGUUUGCCUUUGAAUUCAAUGGAAAAUCGUACACAUUUAAAAGAUUGUGUCAGGGAUAUUCAGAAAAUCCCACGAUCUACAAUAUGGCACUAAACGACAGCUUGGAUGAUCUUGUUUUGUCCCCAUCACCGCCCUACUGCAGUACGUUGAUGACUUGAUGAUCUGCAGUGAGGAUCAGGAAACUUGCACGGCAGACACGAUCAAGCUGAUGAAACACUUGCAUGCCGCAGGCCAUAAAGCGAGCCUGUCCAAAUUACAGUUUGUACAAACAAAGGUUACUGUCAGAUUUCGGCAAGGAUCGGACCCACAUGCACAGCGAUGACUCGGUAGACAGUGGAUAUAGUUAAGAAAGUCUUUAAUGACAGAAUCCAGGUCACAAAACGGUCCAGGUCAUUCACAGAGUAGCAACACCACAGGGCUUAGGCAAAAUCGGGUCCGAGGACAGGCGGGAGUCAAAACCAGAAAGGGCUCAGAUCACAGGAACAGAAUCGGCGGGCGUAGACAGGUCCAGAAACGAGCAGAGUUCAGUAACAGAGUGACUUACGAGAGUGGUCAGAAUCAGAUGAGAAGCAAAGGUCACAAACGUAACAGGGUCGAUAACAGGGUAAGCUGAACUAGACGAAUGCUGGAACGUGAGAACAAUGAAUCAGUAAACAACGAUCUGGCGGAGAACUGAUGUGACAGGUGGUGGUUAAAUACACGGAGUAGAUCACUGAUACAAAACAGGUGAGUGUAAUGAGGACCGGGAGUGAAGCGGGAACUGCUGUGGUGUGAUGAGAAACGGAAGUGCUUACAAAAUAAAACCGGAAACUGGGAUCAAAAACAGAAGAGUCCUUUCAAAAUAAAACCAAGAACGAAAACCUGACAGUACCCCUCCCUCUAGGGCGUCUUCCACGGCGCCCACGGAAGCCCCCCCCCCGAAGUAGGGCGGGCGGAGGGUGGACACAGGAGGAGGGAC